GAAAUGCGAUAAUUAAUGUGAAUUGCAGAAUUCAGUGAAUCAUCGAGUCUUUGAACGCACAUUGCGCCCCCUGGUAUUCCGGGGCGCAUGCCUGUCCGAGCGUCAUUGCUGCCCUCAAGCACGGCUUGUGUGUUGGGCUUCCGUCCCUGGCAACGGGGACGGGCCCAAAAGGCAGUGGCGGCACCAUGUCUGGUCCUCGAGCGUAUGGGGCUUUGUCACCCGCUCCCGUAGGUCCAGCUGGCAGCUAGCCUCGCAACCAAUCUUUUUAACCAGGUUGACCUCGGAUCAGGUAGGGAUACCCGCUGAACUUAAGC
rnacentral:misc_RNA from 1 species